rnacentral:rRNA from 1 species
AUUGAACGCUGGCGGAAUGCUUUACACAUGCAAGUCGAACGGUAGAGGGGGCAACCCCUCGAGAGUGGCGAACGGGUGAGUAAUAUAUCGGAACGUGCCCAGUCGUGGGGGAUAACGUAGCGAAAGUUACGCUAAUACCGCAUACGAUCUAAGGAUGAAAGCGGGGGAUCGCAAGACCUCGCGCGAUUGGAGCGGCCGAUAUCAGAGUAGGUAGUUGGUGGGGUAAAGGCUCACCAAGCCAACGAUCUGUAGCUGGUAUGAGAGGACGACCAGCCACACUGGAACUGUGACACGGUCCAGACGCCUACGGGAGGCAGCAGUGGGGAAUUUUGGACAAUGGACGCAAGUCUGAUCCAGCCAUUCCGCGUGCAGGAUGAAGGCCCUCGGGUUGUAAACUGCUUUUGUACGGAACGAAAAGGUCUCUCUUAAUACGGGGGACUCAUGACGGUACCGUAAGAAUAAGCACCGGCUAACUACGUGCCAGCCGCCGCAGUAA